rnacentral:rRNA from 1 species
ACGAACGUUGGCGGCGUGCCUAAUACAUGCAAGUCGUGGGAGAAAUCCGGGGUAACUCGGAGAGUACACCGGCGAAAGGGUGAGUAAUACAUAGAUAACGUACCCUUCGGACUGGGAUAACCCCGCGAAAGCGGGGCUAAUACCGGGAGAUGACGGGGUUUGACAUCUGGUCCCGUCCAAAGCCGCAAGGCGCCGAAGGAGCGGUCUAUGGCCUAUCAGCUAGUUGGCGGGGUAACGGCCCACCAAGGCAGUGACGGGUAGCCGGACUGAGAGGUUGACCGGCCACACGGGAACUGAGACACGGUCCCGACACCUACGGGUGGCAGCAGUAGGGAAUAUUGCGCAAUGGGCGAAAGCCUGACGCAGCGACGCCGCGUGGGGGAUGAAGGCCUUCGGGUUGUAAACCCCUUUCGUGAGGGAAGAACACUGACUUAACCUCAGGAAGAAGCACCGGCUAACUCCGU